GACAGAGGAUGCAAGCGUUAUCCGGAAUGAUUGGGCGUAAAGCGUCUGUAGGUGGCUUUUUAAGUCCGCCGUCAAAUCCCAGGGCUCAACCCUGGACAGGCGGUGGAAACUACCAAGCUGGAGUACGGUAGGGGCAGGAGGGAAUUUCCGGUGGAGCGGUGAAAUGCGUAGAGAUCGGAAAGAACACCAACGCGAAAGCACUCUGCGUGGGCCGACACUGACAUGAGAGACGAAAGCUAGGGGGAGCGAAUGGGAUUAGAACUUCCGUAGUCAAGUCCAAGACCAG
rnacentral:rRNA from 1 species